GGAUGAACGCUGGAGGUGUGCCUAACACAUGCAAGUCGAACGAACCUUUGGAGUAGAGACUUCGGUCAAAGCUCCUGUUAGGUUAGUGGCGAACGGGUGAGUAAUACAUAGGUAACGUGCCCUUAAGCCUGGGAUAACCAUUCGAAAGGAUGGCUAAUACCGGAUAUUUUCUUUUAAUCGCAUGAUUUAAAGAGGAAAGAUUUAUCGCUUAAGGAGUGGCCUAUGCCUGAUUAGCUAGUUGGUAGGGUAAUGGCCUACCAAGGCAACGAUCAGUAGCUGGUCUGAGAGGACGAACAGCCACACUGGGACUGAGAUACGGCCCAGACUCCUACGGGAGGCAGCAGUGGGGAAUAUUGCGCAAUGGGCGAAAGCCUGACGCAGCGACACCUCGUGAACGACGAAGUCUUUCGGGAUGUAAAGUUCUGUCAAUAGGGACGAUUAUGACGGUACCUAUAGAGGAAGCACCGGCUAACUACGUGCCAGCAGCCGCGGUAAUACGUAGGGUGCGAGCGUUAUCCGGAUUUAUUGGGCAUAAAGCGCGCGUAGGUGGUUUUUUAAGUCAGAUGUUAAAGACCUCGGCUCAACCGGGGUUUGCGUCUGAAACUGAAAAACUAGAGGUCAGUAGAGGAAAGCGGAACUCACAGUGUAGCGGUGAAAUGCGUAGAUAUUGUGAGGAACACCAGUUGCGAAAGGCGGCUUUCUGGCCUGAUCCUGACACUGAGGUGCGAAAGCGUGGGGAGCGAACGGGAUUAGAUACCCCGGUAGUCCACGCCGUAAACGGUGUUCACUAGGUGUUGGAGGUAUCGACCCCUUCAGUGCCACAGAUAAUUCGUUAAGUGAACCGCCUGGGAAGUACGACCGCAAGGUUAAAACUCAAAGGAAUUGACGGGGGCCCGCACAAGCAGUGGAGCAUGUGGUUUAAUUCGACGAUACGCGAAGAACCUUACCAGGGUUUGACAUCUACCGGAGUCUCUAGAAACAGAGAUGUGCCCGCAAGGGAACGGUAAGACAGGUGGUGCAUGGCUGUCGUCAGCUCGUGUCGUGAGAUGUUGGGUUAAGUCCCGCAACGAGCGCAACCCUCGUCCCGUGUUGCCAGCACAUAAUGGUGGGAACUCACGGGAGACUGCCUGUGGAAAGCAGGAGGAAGGUGGGGAUGAGGUCAAGUCAUCAUGCCCCUUACACCCUGGGCUACACACAUGCUACAAUGGCCGAUACAAUGGGUUGCGAAGCCGCGAGGUGAAGCUAAUCUCAAAAAAUCGGCCUCAGUUCGGAUUGUAGUCUGCAACUCGACUACAUGAAGUUGGAAUUGCUAGUAAACGCAAAUCAUCAAUGUUGCGUUGAAUACGUUCCCGGGCCUUGCACUCACCG
rnacentral:rRNA from 1 species